UUGCAAUGAUGACUACCUUAGGACACCUUUGGAAUUCAGCAUGAAAACAGCUAUAAUAAUCUGAGCAAC